rnacentral:rRNA from 1 species
UACGGAGGGGGCCAGCGUUGUUCGGAAUCAUUGGGCGUAAAGGGCGCGUAGGCGGCGAGGCAAGUCGGGGGUGAAAUCCCUCAGCUCAACUGAGGAACUGCGCCCGAAACUACCUUGCUAGAGUGCAGGAGAGGAGAGUGGAACUCCUAGUGGAGCGGUGAAAUGCGUAGAGAUUAGGAGGAACGCCGGUGGCGAAAGCGACUCUCUGGCCUGUAACUGACGCUGAGGCGCGAAAGCUAGGGGAGCAAACGGG